rnacentral:rRNA from 1 species
GAUGAACGCUGGCGGCGUGCCUAAUACAUGCAAGUCGAGCGAACAGAUGAGGAGCUUGCUCCUCUGACGUUAGCGGCGGACGGGUGAGUAACACGUGGAUAACCUACCUAUAAGACUGGGAUAACUUCGGGAAACCGGAGCUAAUACCGGAUAAUAUGUUGAACCGCAUGGUUCAAUAGUGAAAGACGGUUUUGCUGUCACUUAUAGAUGGAUCCGCGCCGCAUUAGCUAGUUGGUAAGGUAACGGCUUACCAAGGCGACGAUGCGUAGCCGACCUGAGAGGGUGAUCGGCCACACUGGAACUGAGACACGGUCCAGACUCCUACGGGAGGCAGCAGUAGGGAAUCUUCCGCAAUGGGCGAAAGCCUGACGGAGCAACGCCGCGUGAGUGAUGAAGGUCUUCGGAUCGUAAAACUCUGUUAUUAGGGAAGAACAAAUGUGUAAGUAACUAUGCACGUCUUGACGGUACCUAAUCAGAAAGCCACGGCUAACUACGUG